rnacentral:rRNA from 1 species
GACGUAGGGCGCAAGCGUUGUCCGGAUUUAUUGGGCGUAAAGAGCUCGUAGGCGGUUUGUCGCGUCUGCCGUGAAAGUCCGGGGCUCAACUCCGGAUCUGCGGUGGGUACGGGCAGACUAGAGUGAUGUAGGGGGAGACUGGAAUUCCUGGUGUAGCGGUGAAAUGCGCAGAUAUCAGGAGGAACACCGGUGGCGAAGGCGGGGUCUCUGGGCCGGUACCGACGCUGGAGGGAGCGAAAAGCGUGGGGGAGCAAACGGGG